rnacentral:rRNA from 1 species
CCUUAGAUGUUCUGGGCCGCACGCGCGCUACACUGACGAAUGCAACGAGCUUAUAACCUUGGCCGAAAGGUCUGGGUAAUCUCCAAAUUUCGUCGUGAUGGGGAUAGAUUAUUGCAAUUAUUAAUCUUCAACGAGGAAUGCCUAGUAAGCGCAAGUCAUCAGCUUGCGUUGAUUACGUCCCUGCCCUUUGUACACACCGCCCGUCGCUCCUACCGAUUGAAUGGUCCGGUGAAGCGUUCGGACCGUGGCCUUUGGACGGUUCGCCGUCUGUUGGCUGCGGGAAGUUCGUUAAACCUUAUCAUUUAGAGGAAGGAGAAGUCGUAACA